AUAAUGGGUCAGCGACUUAUAUUCUGUAGCAAGGUUAACCGAAUAGGGGAGCCGAAGGGAAACCGAGUCUUAACUGGGCGUUAAGUUGCAGGGUAUAGACCCGAAACCCGGUGAUCUAGCCAUGGGCAGGUUGAAGGUUGGGUAACACUAACUGGAGGACCGAACCGACUAAUGUUGAAAAAUUAGCGGAUGACUUGUGGCUGGGGGUGAAAGGCCAAUCAAACCGGGAGAUAGCUGGUUCUCCCCGAAAGCUAUUUAGGUAGCGCCUCGUGAAUUCAUCUCCGGGGGUAGAGCACUGUUUCGGCAAGGGGGUCAUCCCGACUUACCAACCCGAUGCAAACUGCGAAUACCGGAGAAUGUUAUCACGGGAGACACACGGCGGGUGCUAACGUCCGUCGUGAAGAGGGAAACAACCCAGACCGCCAGCUAAGGUCCCAAAGUCAUGGUUAAGUGGGAAACGAUGUGGGAAGGCCCAGACAGCCAGGAUGUUGGCUUAGAAGCAGCCAUCAUUUAAAGAAAGCGUAAUAGCUCACUGGUCGAGUCGGCCUGCGCGGAAGAUGUAACGGGGCUAAACCAUGCACCGAAGCUGCGGCAGCGACGCUUAUGCGUUGUUGGGUAGGGGAGCGUUCUGUAAGCCUGCGAAGGUGUGCUGUGAGGCAUG
rnacentral:rRNA from 1 species